UAAUACGUAGGGUGCUAGCGUUGUUCGGAAUCAUUGGGCGUAAAGCGCGUGUAGGUGGUUAGUUAAGUCGGGUGUGAAAUCCCUGGGCUCAACCGAGGAAGUGCAUCCGAAACUAACUAGCUGGAGUAUGGUAGAGGAAGGUGGAAUUCCUAGUGUAGAGGUGAAAUUCGUAGAUAUUAGGAGGAAUACCGGUGGCGAAGGCGGCCUUCUGGACCAUUACUGACACUGAGACGCGAAAGCGUGGGGAGCAAACAGGAUUAGAUACCCUGGUAGUCCACGCCGUAAACGAUGGGUACUAGAUGUUGCGGGAAUUGACCCCUGCAGUGUCGACGCUAACGCAUUAAGUACCCCGCCUGGGAAGUACGGCCGCAAGGUUA
rnacentral:rRNA from 1 species